GAUGAACGCUGACAGAAUGCUUAACACAUGCAAGUCUUUGGCGAAGCUGUGCUUGCACAGCCUAGCCAAGGCGGACGGGUGAGUAACGCGUAAGGAACUUGCCCUGCAGUCAGGGAUAACAGACGGAAACGACUGAUAAGACCUGGUAAAGUCAGGCGGACUCAUGUCCAGCCUGAUGAAAAGAGAUGCUGCAGGAGAGCCUUGCGUCCUAUUAGCUUGUUGGUGGGGUAACGGCCCACCAAGGCGAUGAUAGGUAGCCGGCCUGAGAGGGUGGACGGCCACAAGGGGACUGAGAUACGGCCCUUACUCCUACGGGAGGCAGCAGUGGGGAAUAUUGGACAAUGGGGGCAACCCUGAUCCAGCAAUUCUGUGUGCACGAUGAAGGUUUUCGGAUUGUAAAGUGCUUCCAGCAGGGAAGAAAAAAAUGACGGUACCUGCAGAAGAAGCGACGGCUAAAUACGU
rnacentral:rRNA from 1 species